UGAAGAAUUUGUCCAACGGCGGGGGAUAGCUGGCCCAACGGCCGGGUAAUACCGCGUACGGCCCUCGGGGGGCAUCCCCUGAAGGUGAAAGCCGCAAGGCGCCGAUGGAGAACUUCGCGGCCUAUCAGCUAGUUGGUGAGGUCAUGGCUCACCAAGGCGACGACGGGUAGCUGGUCCGAGAGGAUGACCCAGCCACAUUGGGACUGAGACACGGCCCAGACCUCCGUACGGGGAGCAG
rnacentral:rRNA from 1 species